UCCUGUGUGGGUUGCCUCAAGUUACGGAAAUURACCCCGGAUGAGUCCUAWUUUUCGCCUCUCGCCAAUUUGUGGUGUCAGGUUGACGUGGAAGUACUGCCCAUUCUCCUUGAAUGCUUCGCCCUUUUGCGUUGCAAUCAUGGCCCAUGGGUUGCUACUAGUUCCCUCGGAUGCAGAACCUUUGAAGGGUGCACAGCAUGCUGCUGUUGUUUACCCACGAAGCGUUCACGGCUCGAUGCGUACGACGGUUGUGCCCGCCUUGGUCCCGUCUUUAACUAGUUUAGGAYGGGUCUCAUGCGGUGYCGGCGUCGCGAAGGAAUGCUACCUGGUUGAUCCUGCCAGUAGUCAUAUGCUUGUCUCAA
rnacentral:misc_RNA from 1 species